rnacentral:rRNA from 1 species
GCACCCGCACAAGCGGUGGAGCAUGCUGUUUAAUUCGAAGAUACGCGAAGAACCUUACCUAGACUUGACAUCCCUGGCAAAGCUAUAGAAAUAUAGUGGAGGUUACCCGGGUGACAGGUGGUGCAUGGUUGUCGUCAGCUCGUGUCGUGAGAUGUUCGGUUAAGUCCGAUAACGAGCGCAACCCUUGUCGUUAGUUACUAACAUUUAGUUGAGUUCUCUAACGAGACUGCCGGUGACAAACCGGAGGAAGGUGGGGAUGACGUCAAAUCAUCAUGCCCCUUACGUCUAGGGCUACAGGCGUGCUACAAUGGCCGUGACAAAGAGACGCAAUACCGUGAGGUGGAGCAAAUCUCAAAAAACGGUCUCAGUUCGGAUUGAAGUCUGCAACUCGACUUCAUGAAGUUGGAAUCGCUAGUAAUCGUGGAUCAGCACUGCCACGGUGAAUACGUUCCCGGGUGUU